AAGUAACUGCUCCCAAAUGUCAAACUAGGCAUUUCACAGAAAACAAUCGAAUUGGCGAUUCUUCACGCAGGCAGUCUCAAUUCACUUUCUUUCAGAACCUGAAACAAUGCUCCAAUGACAACUCACCAAAGUAAAAAUGCUAAAUAUGAAAACUACAGACUUGAAUUAGGCUGUGUGCCUUAUAAUAUAGCUGCAGAAUUUAUAUUGCGGUAACAACGCUUCGAAAUAAGAACGUGUUAAAGCGCAAGCAAAAUUAGCACAACAGCAGCAUAGGUGACGGUCGGAUUCUCAGGUUAAGCAUCAAUGGGCGCGAUUUGAAACGCGUCUCACAGCUAUAAUAUAAGUUACACAGCUAUUUUAACUACAGUCUUCGCAAUAUGCAUUACACAGCUAUAUGCCAAAAAAUGGGGGUGCUAAGUCCACUUAUAGAUCUCACACGCAUAUUGGGAUUUUCCGUGU